AGUGAACGCUGGCGGCAGGCCUAAUACAUGCAAGUCGAACGGAUCCUUCGGGAUUAGUGGCGGACGGGUGAGUAACACGUGGGAACGUGCCCUUUGGUUCGGAACAACUCAGGGAAACUUGAGCUAAUACCGGAGGUGCCCUUCGGGGGAAAGAUUUAUCGCCAUUGGAGCGGCCCGCGUCUGAUUAGCUAGUUGGUGAGGUAAAGGCUCACCAAGGCGACGAUCAGUAGCUGGUCUGAGAGGAUGAUCAGCCACAUUGGGACUGAGACACGGCCCAAGCUCCUACGGGAGGCAGCAGUGGGGAAUCUUGCGCAAUGGGCGAAAGCCUGACGCAGCCAUGCCGCGUGAAUGAUGAAGGUCUUAGGAUUGUAAAAUUCUUUCACCGGGGACGAUAAUGACGGUACCCGGAGAAGAAGCCCCGGCUAACUUCGUGCCAGCCGCCGCCGUAAUAC
rnacentral:rRNA from 1 species